UCCGAGUCCGUUUCGGAAUGACGGACGGACGGAUCGGACGGACCCUUUUUGAUUUAUAGUUCUACGAGCCUUUUUAUUGUGAAAACAAUUCACCGCCAGAACAGUAGAUGGCGAAACGGAAGUCGAGCUUAGACAAGCCUACCUCAUGAGGUAUAUAGAAGAAGUCCACGCUGGUUUAUUUACGUCCUCCCGGCUCCUCACACACAGUGAACGAUGGCAACUAACAGAAAAAGGAUGUUGAUGACGCGACAGUUUUUGCUGAAUAAAGUGACACCCAGCGGACGAAAAAACCACUGGGGUUGGUCAUGAGAGGAUCCGUGUGCUUCGCUCUUUGGUAUCCUCGUCUUUAAAUACCUGUCGAGUGGUGGCCACGGCAAAUUCAUGAAUCACAGGGGGAAAGGAAGGACACUCAUUCAUGCUGAAACCAGCUCGUGGGCACCAAAACUUCGUCCUCCCUUCAAAAGUUGAGCCGUUAGCGUUAAUGACAAGGAAGGAAAACGAUGGGGAGAGGACAGCACGUCUAAGCCUGGACAUUCCAUAUUAUGCUUUUCCAAAAUAUCCAAAUUAUGGUUAGGAUUAAGAAGGAUAGGUUUAUGUUUUCACAGAUGCUACAAACAGUCGAUGGCGCAGUGAGUCUUUUAUUAGUCAAACCUACGAGUUGGAACCUGACAUAAGAGCAAAGCAGCGCAUCAACAAGUUUAUUUCUACAUUUAAUCAUGGUCCUUCCUACCGAAAAGCAUUAAUACUAAAGAUUUCCACCGGCCGAGCUGGUUGUUGUACGUCAACGUUCUGCGACAAUUACUUAAUUAUCGGUACCGAACAAAAUGUGGCCAAAAGUUUCUGAAAGUGUUUUUUAUCUUUUGCCGAUGAGCUCACUAUAUAAUCCUCUACAUAGAUGUCCCUGUGGGGAUUUUGGACACAGUCAUUGUAUUCUUCUAACAAGCGGCUUUUCUUCAGGGAAAAGAAGUGACUGAGCUCGCACGCGUCACAGAGGCCCUAUAGGAGGCUUAUGAAUAUUCCCCGAACAUACAGUGAAGCUACAGAUCCAUCACUGGAGUAAAUAUCACGGCUAACAGCUUCACGUGACAUGAUUUUCUCCUGGAGGAAUCGAUGAACGGGCCCGUCCGUCCAUGUUAACACCAAAGCCGCUCAUGCGAAGCAAACAACCCGCUGUUCGCUGACAGGCUUAGGCACUUUUGUAGAUUACAUCCACUCUUCACUUCCUGUUUCCACGGCGUAGGGGGGAAAUGAGCACGGAGACUAAGGAGUUUUAUCGGCUGACAGUCGAGGUCAGAGCUUUUCUCCCCAUUGAUCUGCUGUGGUUGGGACAAAAACACCAUUUGUGCAAAGCCUCACAGCUUCCUGCGCCGCGUGGCAUCUCACACUCUGAGAAGCACAAGCCAGAAGAUGAACUGCAGCAUCUGUUUGUUUGUGUUUUUCUUUGCAGGGGAAAGGGGCAACGACCAGGCCUGCAGAGUUACCAGUCACUUCGCUGCAUCUCUUACGUUCAUUUCAAACCUUUCAG